rnacentral:misc_RNA from 1 species
CUUCCGGACUGGCCCGGAAUGGGGGGCGACCCCCGUCCUGGGCCGGAAAGUUAUCCGAACUCGGUCAUUUAGAGGAAGUAAAAGUCGUAACAAGGUCUCCGUUGGUGAACCAGCGGAGGGAUCAUUACUGAGUACUACACUCUCUACCCUUUGUGAACUAUUAUACCUGUUGCUUCGGCGGCGCCCGCAGGGUGCCCGCCGGUCUCAUCAGAAUCUCUGUUUUCGAACCCGACGAUACUUCUGAGUGUUCUUAGCGAACUGUCAAAACUUUUAACAACGGAUCUCUUGGCUCCAGC